rnacentral:rRNA from 1 species
GACGAACGCUGGCGGCGUGCUUAACACAUGCAAGUCGAACGGAAAGGCCCUGCUUUUGUGGGGUGCUCGAGUGGCGAACGGGUGAGUAACACGUGAGUAUCCUGCCCUUGCCUUUGGGAUAACUUCAGGAAACUGGGGCUAAUACCGGAUCGGAGCUCCUGCUGCAUGGUGGGGGUUGGAAAGUUUCGGCGGUUGGGGAUGGACUCGCGGCUUAUCAGCUUGUUGGUGGGGUAGUGGCUUACCAAGGCUUUGACGGGUAGCCGGCCUGAGAGGGUGACCGGCCACAUUGGGACUGAGAUACGGGCCAGACUCCUACGGGAGGCAGCAGUGGGGAAGAUUGCACGAUGGGCGGAAGCCUGAUGCAGCAACGCCGCGUGCGGGAUGACGGCCUUCGGGUUGUAAACCGCUUUCGCCUGUGACGAAGCGUGAGUGACGGUAAUGGGUAAAGAAGCACCGGCUAACUACGUG